rnacentral:rRNA from 1 species
AUUGAACGCUGGCGGCAGGCCUAACACAUGCAAGUCGAACGAGUGGCGGACGGGUGAGUAAUGUCUGGGAAACUGCCUGAUGGAGGGGGAUAACUACUGGAAACGGUAGCUAAUCCCGCCUACCAUCGGCUGUGCCCAGAUGGGAGGAGCUUGUUGGUGGGGUAACGGCUCACCAAGGCGACGAUCCCUAGCUGGUCUGAGAGGAUGACCAGCCACACUGGAACUGAGCCACGGUCCAGCCUCCUACGGGAGGCAGCAGUGGGGAAUAUUGCACAAGGGGCGCACGCCUGAUGCAGCCAUGCCGCGUGUAUGAAGAAGGCCUUCGGGUUGGAAAGUACUUUCAGCGGGGAGGCGUUACCCGCAGAAGAAGCACCGGCUAACUCCGUGGCAGCAGCCGCGGUAAUUC